CAAGCAGCGUACUCUCUCGACUCACUCUCUCCUCUCCUCUCCUCUCCAUCUCCAUCUCCACCUGCUCAGCUGAGCUCUUUAUUCAGAAAGAUUAAACCCUACUCUAUCAUCGUGUAGAACUCUAUCAUCAGAGUACGAGAGGAGCUUGCAGCAGUAAGCCGGGCAGAGCUUACGGCAGGCCUUGAAAGCACAGAACGUUUGUCAAGAUUGAAGAACUGAAGUACUUUGGAGAUCAGAAGAGCAUUGAAGUUCACACUUUUGUCAGACCUGGAACCAUCUCUCAAAGCUAUUAAAGAUAAGCUCUUGACUAAGAAUGUGCAUUGAUUGUUAAUUGGUAAAGAUAGUUCCAUGGAUUUAAUGAAUCUUUCUUAUGUUUUCAUUUGCAGCUAAGUGUUACCAUUAGUAUCCCCAGGGCAAGAUGAAUUUGUUUUCCAUCCCCAGGGCAGUAUGAAUUUGAUAAAGAAUGAAGUUUGUUAUUUCGUACUUACAUAAAGAAUGAAGUUAGUUUUGGAGUUUGAUUUGAAUUUGAUUUCACUUCUUGGCAUGCAGAUUAAGCCUGAGAUGUACAGAUAUGAAGUCAUGUCAACUAAAAUUGAAAUGCGCCUUGCUAAAGCUGAAGCAAUCAACUGACAUCUCUUGAAUAUACCAGGGAAAAUUCAGUUCAACAGAAAUUGAACUCGCCACCAGGUUAAUUGAAUGAUGCUCAUGAGAUCAGAAAGGUUGGAGAACAAGGCAGCAAAGCAGCAGCUAUUAGGUCCCUUAGCAGCUGCAAGAUUUGUAAGUUAUAAUGUAGUAUCUCCUUAUAGAGAUUUAAGUUAGAAGAACUUAGGAAUUUCAGAACUUUCUACAAACUGGACUUAGGAAUUAAGUAUGUUUCUGUGUAUGCCCAUUAAAUGAAUGACAUAGUUUGUA